UUUGAUCAGUGGCUCGAGAUGAACGCUGGCGGCGUGCCUAAUACAUGCAAGUCGUGCGGAAAGGCCACUUCGGUGGUACUCGAGCGGCGGACGGCAGAGUAACGCGUAGGAACAUACCCCAAACUGAGGCAUAACUGCUCGAAAGAGCAGCUAAUACCGCAUGUGAUCUUCGGAUUAAAGCUUCGGCGGUUUGGGAAUGGCCUGCGUCCGAUUAGCUAGUUGGUGAGGUAAAUGCUCACCAAGGCUUCGAUCGGUAGCUGGUCUGAGAGGAUGAUCAGCCUGACUGGAACUGAGAACGGUCCAGACUCCUACGGGAGGCAGCAGUAGGGAAUUUUCCACAAUGGGCGAAAGCCUGAUGGAGCAACGCCGCGUGCAGGAUGAAUGCCUUCGGGUUGUAAACUGCUUUUAUUAGUGAAGAAUAUGACGGUAACUAAUGAAUAAGGGUCGGCUAACUACGUG
rnacentral:rRNA from 1 species